rnacentral:rRNA from 1 species
UGGGGAAUAUUGGACAAUGGGCGCAAGCCUGAUCCAGCCAUGCCGCGUGUGUGAAGAAGGCCUUUUGGUUGUAAAGCACUUUAAGCGAGGAGGAGGCUACUUGGAUUAAUACUCUAGGAUAGUGGACGUUACUCGCAGAAUAAGUACCGGCUAACUCUGUGCCAGCAGCCGCGGUAAUACAGAGGGUGCGAGCGUUAAUCGGAUUUACUGGGCGUAAAGCGUGCGUAGGCGGCUUCUUAAGUCGGAUGUGAAAUCCCUGAGCUUAACUUAGGAAUUGCAUUCGAUACUGGGAAGCUAGAGUAUGGGAGAGGAUGGUAGAAUUCCAGGUGUAGCGGUGAAAUGCGUAGAGAUCUGGAGGAAUACCGAUGGCGAAGGCAGCCAUCUGGCCUAAUACUGACGCUGAGGUACGAAAGCAUGGGGAGCAAACAGG